GUGUGUGUCUGUGUGUGUCUGUGAGUGUGUCUUCAAGUGGUGCCGAAACCCGGGAACGUCCCACUGCUAAGAGAGAUGGUUUCCUACACCCAGGCACAGGUUGCUUUGAGAAGCAAUCCCCUCAGACAUUGAUUCUGGAUCACUCCUGCAGAGAAAUCAUUACAUGGGAAUGCAUUUUGGAAGCUUCAGUCUGUCCCACCUUCAAGGAAUCUCUCCAUGUUGUAAUGUCUUCUGUGCAGCUGAAAGGGCUACCAUGUUGUCAUAUUGUCACUUUCAGACCAGCAGCCACCUCAUGAAGGACAUUUUGCCCUUCACCUAGCAACAAUAUAUCAGCAGUGCUCUUCAGGAGAGAUUGUGGUCAAGCAGAAAUGUCCUUUGUUUUUUGUUGGAGGGCAGGUUGCUCGGCAGCACAUAGCUACUGAUUUACUAAUGAUUUACGAUGUAAUCUUAGAUGAAAGGGGCAAGUUAUACUUGCAUGGAAUGUGGUGUUUCUAGUAGAGUUCUGUACUUAACAACAUGUACUGUACACAAAUUAGCCUGGAUAACGGUAUUGUUCUCUUAUACGCUUGGUCGCAUAGACCCUGUAUCCCUGGGAGCAUGUAUGCUAUAUAAGAUGGUGUGUUGCUACAAUAAAAUCGGACGCAUCUCA